UACUGAAAAGCUAGCCGACCAAACUAAAAACACCUAACCUUUAUAAUUAAACCCUAACGCACUACAACAGCAAAACAAACCAUUUUUCCCCCUAAGUAUGGGAGACAGAAAAGGAACAACGAGCAAUAGAAAAAGUACCGCAAGGGAACGCUGAAAAAGAAAUGAAACAACCCAGUUAAGUGAAUAAAAGCAGAGACUAACCCUCGUACCUUUUGCAUCAUGAUUUAGCUAGAACCAUACAAGCAAAGAGCACUUUAGUUUGUACCCCCGAAACUAGGUGAGCUACUCCAAGACAGCCUAUAAAUUAGGGCGCCCCCGUCUCUGUGGCAAAAGAGUGGGAAGAGCUUCGAGUAGAGGUGACAAAUCUAUCGAACCUAGUUAUAGCUGGUUGCCUAAGAAUUGAAUAGCAGUUCAGCUUCUUGAAUUCUUCCCUCCCCAUAGCCCCGCGCACCCCUCAGACUUAAAGAAAUCAAGAAAGUUAGUCAUAGGGGGUACAGCUCCUAUGAAAAAAGAUACAACUUUACCAAGUGGCUAAAGAUCAUAUACCUUAAGGCUUAGUGUCCUAGUGGGCCUAAAAGCAGCCACCUUUCAAAAAAGCGUUACAGCUCUGACACCCCUGCCGCCCCAAAUUUUGAUAAAAAAAUCUUAACCCCUUGUACAUUAUUAGGCCCUCCCACCUUCCCUGGGAGAGACUAUGCUAAAAUGAGUAACCAGAGACUCCCCUCUCUCUUCGAACGCACCUGUAAAUCGGAACGGACCCACCACCGAACAUUAACGGCCCCAAAACCCAGAGGGCACUGAACUAUUAUUACAUAACAAGAAAAACACCCAUAACACCAACCGUUAACCCUACACUGGCGCGUUUAAAAAGAAAGACUAAAAGAAAAAGAAGGAACUCGGCAAACAUAAACCUCGCCUGUUUACCAAAAACAUCGCCUCUUGUAUUUCAACAAUAAGAGGUCCCGCCUGCCCUGUGACGAUAUGUUUAACGGCCGCGGUAUUUUAACCGUGCAAAGGUAGCGUAAUCACUUGUCUUUUAAAUGAAGACCCGUAUGAAUGGCAUCACGAGGGUUUUACUGUCUCCUUUUUCCAGUCAAUGAAAUUGAUCUCCCCGUGCAGAAGCGGGGAUAACAACAUAAGACGAGAAGACCCUGUGAAGCUUAAAGACGAAAAGCAGACCAAACUAAGCACCCCAAACAAAAGAACUAAAGCACUGGACCCUGCCCUAAUGUCUUCGGUUGGGGCGACCACGGAGAAACAAAAAACCCCCACGUGGACUAGGAGUACAUUUUUCCUCUUCCCUCUCCUACAACCUAGAGCAACCCCUCAAAGUAACAAAACCUUUGACCAAACAUGAUCCGGCCACGCCGAUUAACGAACCAAGUUACUCCAGGGAUAACAGCGCUAUCCCCUUUUAGAGCCCAUAUCGACAAGGGGGUUUACGACCUCGAUGUUGGAUCAGGACAUCCUAAUGGUGCAGCCGCUAUUAAGGGUUCGUUUGUUCAACGAUUAAAGUCCUACGUGAUCUGAGUUCAGACCGGAGAAAUCCAGGUCGGUUUCUAUCUAUGAAGUGAUCCCUUUUAGUACGAAAGGACCAAAGAGAAGAGGCCUCUGCCACCAGCACACCUCACCCCCACCUGCUGAAGCCCACUAAAGCAGGCAAAGGGGCACAAACCCUAUCGCCGAAGAAAACGGCCU
rnacentral:rRNA from 1 species